GGGGAAAGAGGCUCUAUACUCUUCCAGUCCCUAGGGUUCUGUAGCCUCUCACCUUCCUGCCAUCCCUGAUCCUUGCCUACUCUGUAUUUAUGACCAAGUUCGUUGUUUAUAUGGAUGACUGAGAGGCCCUGCACUCUAACUUAGGCCUGUAGCACCACUUUCCUUUGGUCCUUUUGUUCCUUGCCCCUGUCCAGCCCUGGACAAUUGGCUCUACCUCAUCAACUUUAUAGCAGAAUCAGUGAAAAUAAAAAUCCCUCAGUAAUCUCACUAGUUAUGAGUAUAUUGACCUGGGCUAAGAUUGGGGGCCAUCAGCUUGUGUGAGGUGGGUAUUAUGCUUGGUGUUGGUCAUAAUAUGCCUGUAGCCAUAAUUAGGACAUGGUUCAUGGAAAUCUGACUCCAUUCAGCAAAGAGUUUCUAAGAGCUUUUCUAUAUUAGAUAUUAAAGUAGGCCUACUUGUAAGGGUUCCUUCUGAGACUUUUAGAGGAGAAACAACCAAAUCAGAGAAGACAGAAGAGACCAUGUAGUCUAACCAGGAAUUAUCAGAGGGUUGUGGGAGCUCAGAUAACACUUGUCCAAGGCAUUUCAGAAGACUUCUGAAGAGUUGACAUAUCUGAGUACUGAAGAUGAGCUCUUGUUAGCAAGCCUAAAGAAAGUGAAUACAAAGAUUGUGCAGGGCAGGCUACUGAUAUGUGACUUUCCAGAGGUGGAUGUGGUUAACUAUGGCAGGAACUUACGGUGUUUGCUUGAAUUUGCUUCUGAGAGCAAAAUUGGGGACAUUAGAAAAAAAACUACCUAUUUGGUAUUUUGUGAUUAAGGGCCCCGGAUACUUAGCCAGUUGUCCUUUAAAGAACUGGUGCUGGGCUGUCUAGGCAGCUCCUCCUAUACCGCCAGGCAGCUUGAGUGAGCUACCACCCCGGAAAUGACGUGCUGCCCUGCUGGCGGUGCGGAAGUGGAGAUGGCGGAGCUGUACGUGAAGCCCGGCAACAAGGAACGCGGCUGGAACGACCCGCCACAAUUCUCCUACGGGCUGCAGACUCAGACUGGUGGAACCAAACGCACUCCCCUUACUAAGAGGGUUGCGGCCCCACAGGAUGGAUCCCCUAGAGCCCCAGAAACUUCUGGACCACCUCCAGUGGAUCAUCCACCUCCUUCAAGUAAGGCUUCCAGGCCUCCACCCAUGGGGAGCUGUCCUGCUUCUGGUGUGGACCCCCCAAGUUCUCCAGUCAUUGAGUCUGAGACUCUAAUAGAAGACGUGCUAAGACCUCUGGAACAGGCAUUGGAGGAUUGCCGUGGUCACACGAAGGUAGGCCCUGGCACUUCAGGGGGCGGAAAGGACUCCUAUCCAAUCAAAUAUGGUUCUUAAAGACAGAUCUUUCAAUGGCCUCUUAAGGACUCUUAGUCUUUCCAGGAAAAUGGAUACUGAUGUCAGAGGAUUUCUCAGAACUUUUGAAGGACCAGCCAGUAAUAGAGGCCUUGUGGAGAUAUCUUUAACUCCUAUUAGUGAGUUAUAAGCUUACUUUUUUAACAAAGCCAUUCAGAAUUUACUGUCAAUUUUGUACCCAGUCUGGGAGAAACAAACAAGCUUUGUAUGAAGGUUCUUCAGCUCUCUAGAGGCAAAGGCUUGAAGAAAAAGGAAGCAGCAUGGUACUCUUCUUCAAAUUUUCAAAUGUUAUUUGAACAGUAACGGUAAGACUCUGAGGAGCUGAGGAGCACUGAAAAUUUAAAAUUCUUGUCAUGUGUAUCUUUUGUCUUGGGAGGACAUUGGCUUUAUCAUAUUUGUAGUGGAGGGCCUCUAAGCCUUAGGUAAAGAAAUAUGAACUCUAAUGAUUAAGGCUCAAACCCCUGAGCCAGAAGUGAGCUCAUGCCAGUAGCACUGAGCUGGAUGGGCUUUUGUUUCAGAAGCAGGUAUGUGAUGAUAUCAGCCGACGCUUGGCACUGCUUCACGAACAGUGGGAUGGAGGGAAGUUGUCAGUACCUGUAAAGAAGAGGAUGGCACUGCUGGUACAAGCCCUGUUUCUCUUCAGAACUUUUACACCACCAGUGGGAUACAGCAGAUGACAUUCAUCGAUCACUCAUGGUUGACCAUGUGACUGAGGUCAGUCAGUGGAUGGUGGGAGUUAAAAGAUUAAUUGCAGAAAA